CAGUAGCCGCGGUAAUACGUAGGUGGCAAGCGUUGUCCGGAAUUAUUGGGCGUAAAGGGCUUGCAGGCGGUUUCUUAAGUCUGAUGUGAGAGCCCCCGGCUCAACCGGGGAGGGUCAUUGGAAACUGGGAAACUUGAGUGCAGAAGAGGAGAGUGGAAUUCCACGUGUAGCGGUGAAAUGCGUAGAGAUGUGGAGGAACACCAGUGGCGAAGGCGACUCUCUGGUCUGUAACUGACGCUGAGGAGCGAAAGCGUGGGGAGCGAACAGGAUUAGAGACCCCCGUAGUCCCUGUCUCUUAUAC
rnacentral:rRNA from 1 species